UUCCCCGCUGAAACCCCUAAUUUUUUCCCCUCUUCUUCGCGGUUUAACAUUUCGCUUCUUCACCCUUUUCAAACUCAUUUCUUUCGCCUCUUCUUUCUUUUUCUCGGAUCUUCUUUCUCCCUCUCAGCAAAGAUCUUUGAUUCUUUCCGUCUCCCUUUCGUUCGCUCUCUGAGGCUGGAAACAGGCUCGUCGAACCCCCGUCGUCAGUCGCUGAGCUCAUCCCUUUCCUAGACGUUGAUGAAGAACCUGCAAUUAGAACAAAUACCACCAUAUUAUUGGGAAACAUUUCAAGCUACUUAAAUGGAGGGGAUUGAUUCCUCUAGCAAUUGAUGGUGGUCCCAAUCAACUUGUUUGGAAAUGGAUGUCAGGUGGCCGGUUCUCAACAGUUGCCACUUAUAAUCAUUUGGUUGUGCGUAGAAGUGGAGCUUCUGGUCGUUAAUUUAGAUACUGAUAUGUGGAAGGUUGAAGCUCCAUAACAUAUUAAAGUGCUUUUAAUGGCUGUUAAAGGAUUUUAAUCCAGAUUGCGGGGACUCUGUCUACACUGCUAGGAUUGUGGACUUGUUACUUGAAUGUGUGGAAUUGUCCUAUAGACCAGGACAUUUUUCUCAAGGCAGAAAGCAGGGAUAUUGUCAUGUUUGAUCACUGAAGAUGCUAUGUAGGGUCAUCCUGAAGAAUUAGGAUCACUUGUUGAAGUUUUAAAGAGUGGAAUGGUUACAAGCCAUUCAGGACAUCAAUACAAGCUUCAAAGUGAUGCAAAAUGCGAUACAAUGGAAACCUUGUGGCGCAUUCUAGGAGUAAAUAAUGCUGCUUAGAGAGUCUUUGGUGAAGCCACUGGAUUUUCUCUUCUGCUAACCACCCUCCAUAGUUUUCAGGGUGAUGGUCACUCAGAAGAACCUUCUUUAUUAGGUUACAUCAGAGUCUUCACAUAUUUAUUGCGCCUUAUGACAGCAGGGGUGUGUGGUAAUACUAUUAAUAGGACAAAACUGCAUGCUAUCAUAUCAUCACACACAUUUUAUGAUCUUCUAUCCGAGUCUGGCUUGCUGUGUGCGGAUUAUGAGAAGCAAGUGAAACGUCUAUUGUUGGAACCUGCUCAAAAGUUUUUCUCUAAGGCUUAUUGCUUUGAGUUCAUUACAAGAUUUCCUUGAUUAAGUAAAUGUAUUAUAUCUUUUAUUACCAAGAUUUACUUGAUUAAGAAAAUGCAUUCUAUGUUUUAUUA